rnacentral:lncRNA from 1 species
CUAAGGAGAAGGUGACAAAGAUUUUCUCCCAUUCUAUCGACCUAGUCUUCAUUUUUUUUUUUUUUUAAAUUGGGUACCAGGGGCACUUGACUAUUGAGCCACAUCCCCAACCCUGUUUUGUAUUUUAUUUAGAGAUAGUGUCUCACUGAGUUGCUUAGUGCCUCGCUUUUGCUGAAGCUGGCUUUGAACUCACGAUCUUCCUGUCUCAGCCUCCUAAGCCACUGGAAUUAUAGGCAUGUGCCAGUGGCACUUGGAUAUCUUCAUAGUCUUAAUUGUUUCCUUUGCUGUGCACAAGCUUUUUAAUUUGAUGCCAUUUCACUUAUUGAUUUUUGGUUUUACCUCUUGCACUUUAGGAUUCUUGUUAAAGUUCCUGAGCUGACAUGUUGGAGUGUUGAGUCUACCGUUUGUUUGUUUGUUUGUUUUUUCUUCUUCUUCUAGCAUUUGCAGGGUCUGAGCCAAUACCUAGCUCUUUGAUCCACUUUUAGUUGAGUUUUGUGUUUUUAUGGGCAGUACCAUACUGUUAUUUUGUUAUUAUUCCGGCUCUGAGGUAUAUUUUAAAAUUAGGUGUUGUGAUAAUUCCAGCAUUAUUCUUUUUGCUCAGGAUUAUUUUGACUAUUCAGAAUCUUUUUUGCUUCAAUUUGAAUUUUAGGAUUUUUUUUUUAGUACUAGAUUUCUUCACUGUGAAGUUACUACUUUCCCCUUGAUAAUGGAUUAAGUAUGUUAUAGCACAAUACCUUGAGAAUAUUUAAAUAUCUUAAUUUUCACCACAUUUUGCCCACAAGUUCUAUCAUCCAUUUAUGAUCCUUUCUUGAAAUCUUUAUGACCAUGGUAUUUCUAAUUGUGGUUUUCAUCUUUUUACACUUGUUAAUAGAAUUCUAAAUGGAAGAGCUGCCCCUUCUGUUUGUUUAUUCAUUUCUGC